rnacentral:rRNA from 1 species
UGGGGAAUAUUGGACAAUGGGCGCAAGCCUGAUCCAGCCAUGCCGCGUGUGUGAAGAAGGCCUUCGGGUUGUAAAGCACUUUUGUCCGGAAAGAAAUCCUUCAGGUUAAUACUCUGGAGGGAUGACGGUACCGGAAGAAUAAGCACCGGCUAACUUCGUGCCAGCAGCCGCGGUAAUACGAAGGGUGCAAGCGUUACUCGGAAUUACUGGGCGUAAAGCGUGCGUAGGCGGUUUGUUAAGUCUGACGUGAAAUCCCCGGGCUCAACCUGGGACGUGCGUUGGAAACUGGCGAUCUAGAGUACGGUAGAGGGUGGUGGAAUUCCCGGUGUAGCAGUGAAAUGCGUAGAGAUCGGGAGGAACACUCGUGGCGAAGGCGGCCACCUGGACCAGUACUGACGCUGAGGCACGAAAGCGUGGGGAGCAAACAGG